GAGAUUUCAGUCUUAAGGUGAACUUGAUUGCAGGCUUCUGACAACCUUUUCAAGGACACAACCCAUGAGACAGAAGGCUAAAUUUGGAUUUGAUCCAUGGCUGGCCAGUAGCUUUCUGUUGAACACAGUCUGCUGGAGGCAACCCUGCCUCAAAAAGUCCCUACACUAACAGUCAGUGGGAGCUGUGAAAGAAAAAGAAGGGAAACACAGCUCAAGGCCCACUACUUACAGCACUGUCCUGAGCCUCCAUUGCUGACACCAUUCAGGACAGUCUCCUGGAGUAAAUCUCAAGAAUUAGAGAAGGUGAGGACCAAACACUCCUCUGAAAUGGUUGAAGACAGAGGGAAUUGUAUAAGCACAAUCUGGACUGCUAUGAGUCUGCUGAAUGUGAUCUGUUAAAAUUUAUAUUGCUGCUUUCCCAUUAAUUCUGAAGACAGUAAAUGGAAAGGUUGAGUUUGUUCUAAGUGUGUCAGAUGUAGCCAUUUCCUCACCAUCUCAAGGAGGCAGAAAUGUCUACACUUGGACAGGUUCUGGCCCCAGAUCCAGCAUGUUACUUAAUAACCUGAAGAUUCCUGGUGGCAGAAGCAAGAGUUAAAGCAAAAAAAUGGCAGAGGACCUAGAUCCUAGUGAUACCAUGGUGGCUUGAGUGUUCUCUGCUCAGUGCAUGUCUCUGCUUCUGGAAGGGGACGAACAGCCAAGAGUGCAUGUGAAACAUCCUGGGCUAAUGUGGAAUGGCACGGGCAUCGCAAUGCGUUAUUCAUACCUGUCUUUCUUUUGGGAGAAUAGCUGCUCUCCUUUGCCGUUCCUGGGCUGGCACUGCUCACCAGUCUCUGAGCAAGAAAUCCAAGCCAAACACCACGUCCAGUGGUUCCUGUCUGGAGAGGACAUGGGUCUUCCACAUUCAGCUGUACUGAAGAAGAUUAUAAUAAAAUAAAAAUGAAUACAAGAUUUUGUUGUUAUUAUCUUCAAUAUUUCUGUUUCUCCUGAGGGAAGAAGCUGAAAGCUGUAAGUGAAUGAUGCCCUGCCAGACAUGACUCCUGAUUGCUGUGACAGGUGAUUUGGAAUGGAAAGGAUGGUAAGAUGGCAGAGAAGCUGAAGUACACAUAUCCAUUGUGUUCUUUCUGUGGAAGACACGAUGCUCAAGAAAUGAUGCAAUGAUGCAAAUCAUGUUUCCAAGGAAAAAGCAGAAAAUCAAAGCAUUCUCAUAGUAACUGUGGUGACAUUAUGGCAUUCUGGAGCCAGGAUAAUGCAGGAAUGGGGGACAGGGCAUGUGAAAUAUUGCCAGUGCACAGCUAUAGCCUCUAGGUUCUAGGGAGCGUGGACCAGCUCCUGUCUACAUGUGGGCCCCUUGCCAUGUGGCAUACAGGGCAAAGGGAGCAUUUUCCUUGUGUGGGAAAUCACAAAGGUGCUGCCCUGUAGACUUCUGGUAAGCCCAGUCCUCCCCUAUUCCAGCUAUGAGGUCUUUAAAGAAUGUGAUUCUUGGAUCUUUAGUCCAUCAGAAAAAUUAUGUGUCUGCAGCCCAGUGAGAUCUGCGUGGGAAAAGCAGAAUUCUUCUCACCUAAUUUAUGAUGUCUCUGCCUCUGACGUAGAUAAUCUGCAUCUGUUCCACUCACUGUAGACUCCCUUGGAGUCAAUGAGGAGGAAUAAACACUUUUAGGACAUGAAUCA
ensembl:lncRNA